UAUAUACCGUAUAUACUCGAGUAUAAGCCGACCCGAAUAUAAGCCGAGGCCCCUAAUUUUACCCCAAAAAACUGGGAAAACGUAUUGACUCGAGUAUAAGACUAGGGUGGGAAAUGCAGCUACUGGUAAAUUUCUAAAUAAAAUUAGAUCCUAAAAAAAUUAUAUUAAUUGAAUAUUUAUUUACGGUGUGUGUGUAUAUAAUGAGUGCAGUGUGUGUGUGUGUGUGAGUGCAGUGUGUGUGU